rnacentral:rRNA from 1 species
GACGAACGCUGGCGGCGUGCCUAAUACAUGCAAGUCGAGCGGACUUGUAGGAGCUUGCUCCUGCAGGUUAGCGGCGGACGGGUGAGUAACACGUGGGCAACCUACCUGUAAGACUGGGAUAACUUCGGGAAACCGGAGCUAAUACCGGAUGACAUAAAGGAACUCCUGUUCCUUUAUUGAAAGAUGGCUUCGGCUAUCACUUACAGAUGGGCCCGCGGCGCAUUAGCUAGUUGGUGAGGUAACGGCUCACCAAGGCGACGAUGCGUAGCCGACCUGAGAGGGUGAUCGGCCACACUGGGACUGAGACACGGCCCAGACUCCUACGGGAGGCAGCAGUAGGGAAUCUUCCGCAAUGGACGAAAGUCUGACGGAGCAACGCCGCGUGAACGAUGAAGGCCUUCGGGUCGUAAAGUUCUGUUGUUAGGGAAGAACAAGUGCUAGUUAAAUAAGCUGGCACCUUGACGGUACCUAACCAGAAAGCCACGGCUAACUACGUGCCAGCCGCCGCAG